rnacentral:ncRNA from 2 species
AAAGAUGGCUCGGGGUGCCGGUAACGGCUGAGAAACACCCGCAGAACUUGAACUGGUUAGGACCAGCGUAAGGAUGCCUUCAAAAAAUCCA